UUAGUCUCAAUCAUGUUUGCAUUCAAAUUAACCACAACCACAAUUUCACUUUUCUUCUUCUUCUCUAGCCAAUUUUUAAACUUGAAGCAAUCAACCUGCUUGUGGCCAAUCUUGAGGCAAAAGUUGCAAUUUCCCUUGAAUCUCUCAUUCUUUGUAGCAUUAGAAGAAGCAGAUGCAUUAGAGGUUCCUUGACUCGAAUUCCC
rnacentral:lncRNA from 1 species